UACCACACAACGUAUUACAUCCUCACUUUCCUGAAACCCUAAAUCCCAAAAUACCGAUUCUCCAUCAAUUGUUCUUCGUCGAUUCAUCAUUCUCAAUGGCCAGGUAUGAGUACUUAUAUGAUUAUUUAUUGUAAUGUUUAAUCUAUUGUAUCUUCUUCAGAUCUGAUCAUCCCGAUUCACUGAUUUGUUAUCGUUGGAGACUGAAACAAUCGGCGCUAGGGUUACGCCGUGAACCCUUGAUGACGACGGAAUUGCAUGCUACAGAACAGACAAUCGAAGUUAAGAUCUGUUUUAGCAGCAAAAAAAUUUACAAUCGUAUUCUUCUCUUCUCAGUUUCUUACUCUUUUCACACCAAAUCAAAUCAGUCUUUGGAUUCUUUUACAAAAUCUCUAUUUCCAUAUAUAAGAUGUCAUUUCCAUUACAUCUUUAUUCAUAUCACAAACCCUAUAGCUGAAUUUGUGAGAUUCAUUUUUUAAACAUCGACGAUCUGUGGAUGGUUUUGGAUUCUGUAACGACUUCUGAAGAGGUAAUUUUCUUUUAACAGUCCAUUGUAUUGUAGAUUGUAGAUUAUUGUAGAUUGUAUAUAUAGAUUUAUUGUAGAUCUUGAAUCGAUUUGUAGUGUUUAGGGUUUUCCAUCAGAUCUGUUAACCUAAUAACCUAACGUUUGACGACGUUUGUUUGUUAAUAAAAAUCUCCGAUAUAAGGUUGUUUGUUUAAAUCGUUAAGUAUAAUUUGGGGAUUUUAAAUAAUUCUUAAACCCUUAACAUUGAUUUGGAUUUGAGAUGAAAAACAAUUUCAUCAUAAAUAUGACAGUUAUAUAGCUUACGGUCAUGAACUGUAGAUGUGCAUAAUUAGAUAAAAGUGAAUAAUACAAAAUACAAAAAAGACUGUAUUGAACAACACAUUGCUGUUAUUUUGUUUAUUGUUACAGUUGAUGUUUUUCAGAUUUGAGCAUUAGAUGUUAGUCAAAAAUUGUGUUGCGACUGAAUUUGAGUUCGAUAGUAAAGAAGUUGUUAGCCUAUUGAGAUCUGAAUUAUAUUUUGAGUGAAAUCCGAGUUUCAGACAUUUUUGGUCAAGUUUCGAUUGAAACUUAGAGUGUCGAUUGAAAAUUCGGAUUAAAUCGAUCAAUUUCAGCUUAUAGAAUCAGUGUUUUUCAGUUUGUUUUUGAAAUAGCUUUGAACAUAUCAGACACCUUUACAUCGAUUUUGAAGUGAAUACUUGAUUGUUCAAAGAGUAGAUAUGAAUUAAUUAUAUGAAUCGGAUCUGUACUUUCUGUCCGCAAUCUUCUUUUUUACAUAGAUCUGAAUUAGAAUAGAGUUGAGGUUGUUGUCUGAACUUGAGUAACGAUAAAUCAUAAAGAUAAAGAUAAAGACUAUUGAUAGGUUUUGUUCAUAAUAAAAAAAACGCAAAAGAAAGACAGGUUGUUUUGAUUUGUUUUUGCUGAACGAAGAAGAAUGGAAGUUCCGAAUAUUUGUUAAAACUGUUUCGGAUCAGAUCUGAAUCAAAAUAGAGAAUAGAGAUGCUGGACUGUUGUUGGUGUUUAGUGAUAACAUAAGAAUUUGAGUUGCCGGUUGCUGGUUUGAGUAUACAACAAAGAAGAAUAACGAGUGCUUGGUUUGCGACUGAAUGUUAUUGUAUGAAUGUUUGAUGUGAUUUGAGUGACCAUCAUUUUUUUAAAGAUUAGAACAGAGUUGAGGUUGUUGUUAUGUGGGUCACGGGAGAUGAGGUGGAGGUGGGUAUCGGCGAUGGAGGUGGAGGUGGGUGGUGAGGGUUGAUGGUGGUGGAGGUGGGUGGUGAGGGCUGAUGAUGGAGGAGGUAGGUGAUGGCGGCUGAUGGUGGUUUAGGCGGGAAUGUUUUUUUUUCUACAUGGGUAAGGUUUGCAAGAACUAUUUAACACCGACGGAUUAUGUCUCUAUGAUAUUCACCAAAGAUGGAAUAUGGGCUGGUAAGUUUCAUCUCCUUUUUAAAUAUAUAAAUGUCAUCCGUCAUGCCAUUAAACGGAUAAUAUUCAACGUUAUUGUUGCCUCUUAUAUGGUGUGAGAAGAGAAACAAAAAUUGGUUAUAGAGAAUAUAUUUUAGUGUGCUAAAUAUGGUUAUAAAUACAUAUCUAUAUAUAUUAAUAAAUGUGAUGAUUUAGUCCAUGUGGCAUGUGAUAGUGGAGCAUUUUUGCUGUUGUGGCAUGCUAUGGUGUAGCUAUAUGGUGAUUUUUGGGGGAAUCCAUUAUCAAUUCUCAAUACACGUUUAAAAUGCUCCUCUUGAGUUGUAUUUUAUAACUUUAAUUUAAUUCUAUUACAUGUUAUUUUUAGUUUGUUGUUUGUAUUUUGAUGGGAUUGUAAGGCAACCAUUGUUUGUAUAACUAUAGUUGUUAUUCACUGGUUUUAAAGUUAUCCCUACAUAUGAUAUAUUUUGCAAAGUGUGUGUUCGCCAAGGCGGUCUGGUGGCAGGUUUGCAUGUGGGUUAAAGUUCCGGUUCCCGGUGAUCUUAUAUCUAUCAGUUAUUUGUUGGAGCAUGUGAAGAGGUUGACUUGCAAUUUUGUGUUUCAUGGUACUUUCAAAUGCUAACAAUAGAUUUAUGUACGAAACCCUAAAAUAUUUAUUUACAAAACGCUGGUUUUAGCAAUUGAGUUGUGUCGUUAUCGUUAUCGGAGCUGGCUGCCAGAGCUGUUAGAGUUGUAGGGGCUAUGACCACCUUAUAUAAUCUGGAAUUUUGGUCCCCUUUGUAGGCUUUUCAGUUUCCCUGCUGGAUUGUCGGUUCUAUAAUUAGUUAUAUGUGGACUUCACUUAUAUACAUACAUACAAACGAUAUUUUUCCAAACUUUGUUGGUGGACACAGAGAGGGAACCAAGUUGAUUAUAAAAUAACACUAUUUCGCGGACCCUUUUUAGAUAAAGCUUCUAUUUUUUUUAACUAAAACCCCAUAUUUGAAUACACAAAUGUUCUGCAGCAGGAGGCCUGGUUUGCUAUUGUCAACCAUUAUAGCAAUUGAUAAUCUUGGUUUGCAUAUUCAGUAAGCCAUGAUACGUUGCUUCAAUCACUUUGCUCUUGAUAUCUUUCGGGCUGAAGUUUUAAUAUAUAUCAUUUGUAUAUGUUAUUGAUUUCUUUUUGUGAUAUUGAUUGUGGCUUUUUUGUUAUUGUAGCAAUGCACAUAGUGGAAAGAUGUUCAUCCUUAUCAGGUUAAAGCGGUGCUGCUGGAGUGUGCAGGGUACCAUGGUGUGGCUUGAGUGCAAGUGUGGAAGCGAAGGGCUGCUUCCAUAUCUAUGACUUUUUACUUAGCCUGCUUAAUCUUUUUUUAAGGAUGCUUUCAUAUCACAAGUUAGAAAAAUAAGAAAUCCAAGAAGCUUACAUGCUCCCAACAAAACUGACAAAGUAAACUAUGCUUCCUGCUAUUUACUACAAGAUGCAUGGACGGUUGCGAUUAUGAGUGCGUUUAUUAAGCGUGGACAGGAAUCUGGUUAUACCAAAAUUACAUUGAGAGGUAACACUCCGGAUGAGAAGAUUGUUAUAAUAUGUAAGAUAGAUGCGCAUAACAGGCCGACUGGCUACAUAAGGGUGAGAACUAGGUAACCUGAGAUGCGGUGUUUGAGCAUGAUUCGUGGGUUCGGGUGUGAUUAGAGGUGACGUGGGAGAUAGAGAUGGGUAUAGGAUUCGAUUAUGGCUUAAUUCGUGGGUUCCGGAAAAACCUCUAUACGUGAUUUAUUCGAAUCUUUUUUCUAAAGAAGCUAAUAAAGGGUGCAUGGUGACUGAAAGAUGUGACUCAGGUAAUAGGCAAGCCAGUUUUCUCUUGGAACUGUAUAACAACGAUUAUGGAAGCAACCGAGCUUCUGAAUUGGGAUGUUGACGGAAAGCUAUUCUCACCCACUCUCGAUGAUUGCUUCAGGUCAAAACAUCAUGAAGUUGGUCAAGGAUGGUUUUAUGAUUUGAAAGCCAACCAAUAUUCACUCGAGGUCUCGGGCACGUCGCAUAAAAGAGGUUAAUAGAAAAGGUUGUCAUUCUCUAUAUGGCGAGUUUUAUUUAUCAAGUUUCAGCUAGCACUUCAAGCCUUUAGCCAAUCAGGGAGGAUGGAUAGCCAACACACUUGUGAGCAAAGGUUUGUCUGUGACCACAUUCAGAAAAGUAUAGAUAAGGAGAUACUCUUGAAAUAUCCUAAUUCAGUUCUACUAGAUACUUUUUAGUUAUUUUUGCUUAAUAAUAGCAAUUCCUAGAAGUUAACGUGCUGUUGAUUGUUGACUGUUUAGAUAGCUAUAUGUUUUAACAGAAAAAAAUGAAUGAAAUAUUUUGUUCUUUGUAUAAUAUAUUUUAUGUUUUGGAUAGUUUGUUAUAAAAUUGAUAAUUGAAUGUGGAAAUUAGGGUGGUUGACUUUUUCAGGGGAUGUUGAUAAUGUUUACUUUGUACCAAACUAUCUAAUGAAGUUGCAUCUGUUAUGUAUGACUCAUCAUUUGGUGCUCUCGUGUGAUCUUAACAAAAAGAUGAGAAUCUAUAUUAGUUUUAUAGUCUUUAUUAUAGUUUUGGUUAUGAGGUCAUUACACUUUUACACUUUAUUGA